GCAGCACUUACGGCGGCGUUGCGGCCAGGGAAGCCUCGCCAGUAUAUCUCAGUGAGGGAGAGCACCUGAGCACGACUGGUUAUUUUUCCAAUCAGUAAAAAUAUUCCCGCUGACUAGGGACUAAAGAAAGCCCUGCGGAUAGAGCCGGAGCUCCCCACCGCAGCUGCCCCGAGGGAGCCCAGACGCUUCUCAGGGGACGCUUGCUCCCCUCAUCACAUCUGGUUGGGGGAGGGUGAGGAUGCGUUAGGGAGUAGGCAUUGGCCUGUGUGGGCCAGCUAACAAAAGGAGGGUUUAGGCAUUGAAGAAAGUGACAAGUGAAGGCUCCCUCACCGGAACCACCACCAUCCCCAUUGCCCCGGUUCCUAAUCCUGUAGAGCUGCUGUGAUAGGCGUUUACUUUUCUCUUCAACGUGGAACUGGCCUAAGUUACUCCUCAAGAGAUGCUUUUCUUUUGGUAGAUUCUUGAAGUCCUCAAGGAAAGAGGAUGUUACACGGAACUUGACACUAGCCUGGGGACUGUUACAGGGCCAGCCCACGGCUUGUCAAAUCACACCUGGUACCGUCAACCCCACCUGCAUCUAAGACUCAGUGUGCCUGGCAGCGAGUGCAUUUCAGACUUUGCAUUUCCACUUUAAGACUCAAAUAGCCCGCACCAGGGCAGAUGAUUUGCCAGCGCCUUCUCUUAAGUGCCUUCAAUAAACAAGUACGGUAAUUACAGAAGAGUUUGAGGCUUUGGGCAGCACUAAUCAACCAAGGUUUUUGAGACAUCUGUGGACAAAACAAAGUGCCCUGCCCUCAAGGGAGCCCACAUUCUAACAGAGCAUAUUGACAUUUUUAAAAGCAGAGACAAGCGAUGGAGAUGCAGGUUACCCAGGUCUUCCAUGACAAAAUGGUUACUCUGUUACAUUUAAGAGAGGUGCUUCUGGAAUUCACAAUAUACAGUUCAAUAAAGAAUAUUUGCA
rnacentral:lncRNA from 1 species